rnacentral:rRNA from 1 species
UGGGGAAUAUUGCACAAUGGGCGCAAGCCUGAUGCAGCCAUGCCGCGUGUGUGAAGAAGGCCUUCGGGUUGUAAAGCACUUUCAGCGGGGAGGAAGGCGGUGAGGUUAAUAACCUCACCGAUUGACGUUACCCGCAGAAGAAGCACCGGCUAACUCCGUGCCAGCAGCCGCGGUAAUACGGAGGGUGCAAGCGUUAAUCGGAAUUACUGGGCGUAAAGCGCACGCAGGCGGUCUGUCAAGUCGGAUGUGAAAUCCCCGGGCUCAAACUGGGAACUGCAUUAGAAACUGGCAGGCGAGAGUCUUGUAGAGGGGGGUAGAAUUCCAGGUGUAGCGGUGAAAUGCGUAGAGAUCUGGAGGAAUACCGGUGGCGAAGGCGGCCCCUUGGACAAAGACUGACGCUCAGGUGCGAAAGCGUGGGGAGCAAACAGG